rnacentral:rRNA from 1 species
UACGGGGGGUGCAAGCGUUACUCGGAAUCAUUGGGCGUAAAGGGCGCGUAGGCGGCCUAGUAAGUCAGGUGUGAAAGCCCGGGGCUUAACCCCGGAAGUGCAUUUGAUACUGCUAGGCUUGAGUAUGGGAGAGGGAAGUGGAAUUCCUGGUGUAGAGGUGAAAUUCGUAGAUAUCAGGAGGAACACCGGUGGCGAAGGCGACUUCCUGGACCAAUACUGACGCUGAGGCGCGAAGGCGUGGGGAGCAAAC